CGAUUUAGCUCAGUUGGUAGAGCAACGCAUUCGUAACGCGUAGGUCGCAGGUUCGAUCCCUGUAAUCGGC
rnacentral:tRNA from 1 species